UCCCCGUUUAAGCGAGGCAGUCUGUCCAGAGUGCUCUCUUCUCUCGAAGAGGUGGCAACAGGACACAAGGGUUGCGCUCGUUGCGGGACUUAACCCAACAUCUCACGACACGAGCUGACGACAGCCAUGCAGCACCUGUGCAUGCUCCCCUUGCGGGGUCGUCCCACUUUCAUGGUUCUACCACAUGCAUGUCAAGGCCAGGUAAGGUUCUUCGCGUUGCAUCGAAUUAAGCCACAUACUCCACCGCUUGUGCAGGCCCCCGUCAAUUUCUUUGAGUUUUAAUCUUGCGACCGUACUCCCCAGGCGGCACGUUUAACGCGUUAGCUUCGCCACAAGAGGGGUCGAUUCCUCUUACAGCAAACGUGCACCGUUUAGGGCUAGGACUAC
rnacentral:misc_RNA from 1 species